GGGUGAAGGUGUAGGUGGUUGUUAGAGAAUUUGCACUGAGCGUGACCAACAUGAGAACCACAUGGAUGUCUACUUACUCAUCAGUGAUCUUCUCGAUGCUGCAGUUGUGUGAAUGAUCCUUUAACCUGCAGUGUCAUUGGUUAUUCGCAACGAGGCUACUGGGUUUGACUGCAGGUUCUCUUGAUCCAUAGUCAUUGGAUCCUUGCUGUGUAUGUUGGCUUCGGUAGAUUCAGGUUCGCUGUUUGGAAUAGGAUGCACCUAGAUGGAAUCUGUCGAUCUUUGUAGAAAAAGAGAAGUCAUAUGCGAUUUGCGAGACAGAGUUCAGAAAAUCUUUGGCCAAAGUGUGAAUACUGAAAAAGAAUUUUCAUGGGAUUCACAAAUGAACUCAAGUCAAGCCAAUCUAGCAUAUGACUGACGAUGGAGUCUGACGAGUUCUCUAUGACCUCCGUCAAGUCGGGACUCACGAUAGAAAGACUGAAUCAUACAAUAACUGCACCUAGAAAUUCGUACUUUCAUUCUACUGGAUUGCCACUACAUACUGCUAGGUGUCACUGGUGGAUUGUGAGACUCAUCGGACGUCAUCUUAAUGAUCAAUGGCUCUUAAAAGGUGAAUUGAAAAUAUUUCAAUCCAUCAAAAAGAGUUUUGAUGAUAUUGUGAUAGAGAUCACAAUAUAUCUCACUACCAGAUAGAAUGAAACCUAUGAAGUUAUACAUUAAGGAAUUUAAUC
rnacentral:lncRNA from 1 species